GACGAACGCUGGCGGCGUGCUUAACACAUGCAAGUCGAACGGAACGGCCCUGCUUUUUUGGGGUUCUCGAGUGGCGAUCGGGUGUGUAACACGUGAGUAACCUUCCCUUUACUUUGUUAUACCUUCAGGAACCUGCGGCUAAUCCCUGAUAGUAUCUCCUGCUGCCUGGUGUGGUUUGGAACUUUUCGGCGGUUGGGGAUGGACUCGCGGCUUAUCAGCUUGUUGUUGGGGUAGUGGCUUACCAAGGCUUUGACGGGUAGCCGGCCUGAGAGGGUGACCGGGGAAAUGGGGACUGAGAGACGGAACAGAGUCGGACGGGAGGCAGCAGGGGGGAAGAGUGCACAAGGGGCGGAAGCCUGAUGAAGAAACGCCGCGGGCGGGAAGACGGCCUUCGGGGGGUAAACAGCUUGCGACUGAGAAGAAGAGUGAGUGACGGUAAUGGGUAAAGAAGCACCGGCUAACUACGUG
rnacentral:rRNA from 1 species